UACGUAGGGGGCUAGCGUUGUCCGGAAUCAUUGGGCGUAAAGAGCGUGUAGGCGGUCCGGUAAGUCCGUUGUGAAAGUCAGGGGCUCAACCCUUGAAUGCCGGCGGAUACUGUCGGGCUAGAGUCCGGAAGAGGCGAGUGGAAUUCCCGGUGUAGCGGUGAAAUGCGCAGAUAUCGGGAGGAACACCUAUGGCGAAGGCAGCUCGCUGGGACGGUACUGGACGCUGAGACGCGAAAGCGUGGGGAGCAAACAGG
rnacentral:rRNA from 1 species